UUGGGAUUCGGGGCCUUUUGGCCUGUCUGCACCCUUGUCUUUUUGUGUACCGUCUGUUUCCUCGGCAGCUUAGCCUGCCAACGGGGACCCCUAAAAACCUUCUGUAAUAGCAUGAACAUUCUGAAACCUAUCAAACGUAUCA
rnacentral:misc_RNA from 1 species